AUGCUCACUUUGGCAACACAUAUACAAAAAUUAGAAUGAUACAGAGAAAAUUGGCAUGAUCCAUGUGCAAGGAUAAAACACAAAUUUGUAAAGUGUUCCAUAUUUUU
rnacentral:snRNA from 1 species